rnacentral:rRNA from 1 species
GCCUUGACAUCCUAGGAACCCUGAUGAAAGUCGGGGGUGCCCGCAAGGGAACCUAGAGACAGGUGCUGCAUGGCUGUCGUCAGCUCGUGUCGUGAGAUGUUGGGUUAAGUCCCGCAACGAGCGCAACCCUUGUCCUUAGUUGCUAACGGGUAAGCCGAGCUCUCUAGGGAGACUGCCCGCGAAAGCGGGAGGAAGGCGGGGAUGACGUCUAGUCCGCAUGGCCCUUACGGCCUGGGCGACACACGUGCUACAAUGCCCGGCACAGAGCGCUGCCACAUCGCAAGAUGGAGCUAAUCGCCUAAAUCCGGGCUCAGUUCGGAUUGGGGUCUGCAACCCGACCCCAUGAAGCUGGAAUCGCUAGUAAUCGCGGAUCAGCCAGC